GGUUGGGUAGCUCAGCAGGUAGCAGCGCCGGUCUGAAGAGCCGGAGGUCGUCGGUUCGAUGCCGACCCCAACCA
rnacentral:tRNA from 1 species